CCUACGGGGAGCAGCAGUGGGGAAUAUUGCACAAUGGGGGAAACCCUGAUGCAGCGACGCCGCGUGAGUGAAGAAGUAUUUCGGUAUGUAAAGCUCUAUCAGCAGGGAAGAAAAUGACGGUACCUGACUACGAAGCCCCGGCUAACGACGUGCCAGCAGCCGCGGUAAUACGGAGGGUGCAAGCGUUAUCCGGAUUUACUGGGUGGAAAGGGAGCGUAGGCGGGAUGGUAAGCCAGAAGUGAAAGCUCGCGGCUCAACGGUGGGACUGCGUUUGGAACUAUCUAGCUAGAUUGCAGGAGAGGUAAGUGGAAUUCCUGGUGUAGCGGUGAAAUGCGUAGAUAUUAGGAGGAACACCAGUGGCGAAGGCGGCUUACUGGACUGUAAAUGACGCUGAGGCUCGAAAGCGUGGGGAGCAAACAGGAUUAGAUACCCGUGUAGUC
rnacentral:rRNA from 1 species